rnacentral:rRNA from 1 species
UACGUAGGGACCGAGCGUUGUCCGGAUUCAUUGGGCGUAAAGAGCUCGUAGGCGGCUGUUCAAGUCGAACGUGAAAACUCGGAGCUCAACUCCGAGCCUGCGUUCGAUACUGGACGGCUAGAGUCUGGUAGGGGGAUCUGGAAUUCCUGGUGUAGCGGUGGAAUGCGCAGAUAUCGGGAAGAACACCCGUGGCGAAGGCGGUUCUCUGGGACGGUACUGACGCUGAGGCGCGAAAGCGUGGGGAGCGAACAGG